CUGUGCGAGUGAGGACUGUUGCUGGCCAGACUUGGAGCGGGCGCGCAUGCGCCUCAGGGAGCCUGGUCUCCAGUUCAGUUCAGUCGCUCGGUCGUGUCCGACUCUGCGACCCCAUCAGUCGCAGCACGCCAGGGCUCCCUGUCUAUCACCAACUCCUGGAGUUCACUCAGACUCACAUCCAUCGAGUUGGUGAUGCCAUCCAGCCAUCUCAUCCUCUGUCAUCCCCUUCUCCUCCUGCCCCCAAUCCCUCCCAGUAUCAGUCUUUUCCAAUGAGUCAACUCUUCGCAUGAGGUGGCCAAAGUAUUGGAGUUUCAGCUUUAGCAUCAUUCCUACUUAGUAUCCAGGGAAGAUGAGCUGCGCUUCCCGCCCUCAUCUGAGCUGACUUUUUUAAAUGAGGGAAGUGAAGUAAGGACAAAGGGUCCUUAUAGUUAUAGUUUUUAUAAGGUUUCUAAUCAUGUGAGUCUUCAUCUUGUGUACCUCCCCGAGUGUAUGGUAUUGGGUGAAUUGUCGCAAGCAAGCUCUGACUUCAGCGAUACUAAUGAAGGAACUUCCCAUUUGGUGGAGUGGAUAAGAAUCGGCCUGCCAGUGCAGGGGACACAGGGUGUAUUGUUGUAGCCUCGCGUUCCAGGAAACAGACUCACCCAGAAGGACAAUGCAGAUAGUGGAGUGCAGUUGAUCACACCAGUGGGCCCAAGGCAGAGUCUCCUCUUAGCCAAGAACCCCGAGCGACUUUUGUGAAAACCUUAUAUACCUUAGGUGUAUUGCUCAAGCCCACAUCCCCAGAGUCCUUAAACCUAGCCUGAAAAGUGUUAAAGGGAGAUACAGUCAGGUCACAGCCAUGAUUCACAAUCAGAAGGGUCAGCUGGUUAUACAUUGUAGCCUAUACCAGUGGGUGCCAUAAAGAUUAUAAAGGUUAUUGACUACAUAGGGGAUUAUUACAUUCUUUUUGGUGAUGGGGAAUUUUAGUAUGGAAACUGGUGUUUAUCAGUCCAGGAGGCCGGUUCAGCCGUAGGUAUGUUAUGCCCGUGGCUACCAGGCACAUAGUCCAAAGCUCACUGAAAGUGCAAGAUGGAGGAGGUUCCUUCUUUUUCAAGAUGGAGUCAGCACGGCCUGUUCCUCUCCUCUUUCAAUAACACUGGUCGGGAAAGACCCCACGUUCUGGGGAGCAACUAAGCUGGUGUGCCACAACUACUGAAACCCAGGUGGUGUCUAGAGCCUGUACUCCACAGCAAGAGAAGCCACCAGAAUGAGAAGCCCCAGCACGGCAGCUGGAGAGUAGCCCCUGCUCACUGCAACUAGACAACAUUCCUGCGAAGCAACGAAGACGCAGUGCAGCCAAAACACAGAGAAAUACAUAACAACAAAAAUGAAAGACACCGUGAUGUGAACAAAACUCAGAAUUCGCUGUAAGUCAAAGAAGCAAGAUGUGAGAGAACAGACUGCAUUACUUUGUUUGCAAGGAACACCGGCAAAGACAAAUCUUACCAAUACUGUGAGAAGUUGUUAGGGAACAGUUGACCAACACUGCCUGCUGUGACUGGGCACCGUAAUAACACCUUAAGUCUCCUAUCUCAGGAUGCUUCAAAGAACAUAAAGCCAGAGAAGGGCCCAAAACCUGGGGAAAACCCAGGAGGGGCUGAAAAGGGGAGAAGUGUGUGUUGGUCGCUUCAGUUGCAUCUGACUUUGUGACCCCUUGGAUUGUAGCCCGCCAGGCUCUUCUGUCCAUGGGAUUCUCCAGGCGAGAAUACUGGAGUGGUUUGCCAUUUCCUCCUCCAAAGAAGGGGAGAAGAGACCAGUCCAUAAAAUCUCUUGCCAGCCUCCCAGACUCUCUCACGCUGGAAAUCAUUUUGAUUGAGGGAUGCGCGUGCCAUCAGGAAGGGCCCUGCGUCAGACCGAAUGAGGGCGUGAGCAAGAUGACUGGCCGGAGACAAUCCCAGCUCACCUAACCCCACCCACCAGAAAACCCGAGGCUGCGGACCACAAGGCAGAGCAGUUCUCCUCGUCUCCCUCAUGCUGCUCUCUGCUCCAGCGCCACUUUUCAGUAAAGUCUUUUGCUUUGUCAGUACCGUAGCUCCUUGGACAAUUCGUUUGAGUGUUAGACAAGGGCCCACUCUCAGGCCCUCAGAGAGGUCCCAUCCAGUGACACUCAAUGAUUGAGAAGGGAUAAGGGAAACUUCGGAUAUGAUGGAAAUGUUUUAUGUCUUAUUGGUGGGUGAUGUCAAAAGUUAUAUCCAUUUGUUAAAAUCAAUCACACUGUGCAUUUUAAAUGUGUGUUUUAGCUGUCCCUUCAUGUUUACUGAAGUUAAUAAUAAUAACUAUUUUAUCAGACUGUUGUAAAGAGCACAGGUGGAGAAUUUGACUCUGCUUGGCACAAAGAUGGUUCCUGUCAUUAGCUAUAACAGUUUUAUAACUGAGCAGGGAUGGUUUCUGUCUUCACUAGUUUUAUCCCAGAAUUAAGUCCAAGCUUUUGUCUGGUGCAAGUGUUGUAUUUCAAAAUGUUGAGUGAAUGAACUCCCCUACUAAAUAUACUCAAUGUGCCCUUUCCCAUCUUGAGUUUGAACAAUGAUAUAGAAAUUCCUUAACAGAGGGUAGAAGGGCCUUCAGAACAGGAGCUCAGAGUGUGUUCCAAGGUAUCUGCAGCCCUGGUAGAAACGGAUCCCCAAGCUACAGCAGAUGACAGUUUUAACUGCUCAUAAGAGGACUUCUGUGUCUAGUCCCCAAUCCCCCAUCUCAGCUUGCGGAACUCCAGCUCACCUUGUAGGGGGCUUUUCUAGCUUUCCUGGGCAAUUGUGACCCCUCUUGGUACCCUCUCAUUUACUCCCUUAUUCCUUGUUGAUUUAUUCACUGAACGCUGAACACCUGCUUGAUGCCAGGCACGGAGUGACACAUUGAAGAGACAAGAGACAGUGAGAGAGAGUAAGACAGAGCUGGGUAAGAGGGAGUCAAAGCUUAAAAGCAUCUGCAGUCUUUAGCCCCACUUAGACUUCCAAUCUAUGAACAUGGUAAACCUCUCUGUGUAUUCAGGUCAUCGCUUACUGUUCUCAGCAGUGUUCCAUAGGGCACAGGUCUUACAUAUCCAUCUUUGGACAGAUUUACCUCUAAGCAUUUCAUAUUUCUAAUGCUAUUUUAAAU
ensembl:lncRNA